ACCUGGGUGGCUCAGUCAGUUGAGCGUCUGACUUCAGCUCAGGUCAUGAUCUCGCAGUCUGUGAGUUCGAGCCCCACAUCAGGCC
rnacentral:tRNA from 1 species